UCCGAUUGAUCCCGUCGGACCUUACUGCUAUCGAGAUGGGACUAACCCAGGCCAGUCGAACGACCCGGACUAUGGCGGGGAGUGGCGCACUGCUCAGUAACACGUAGCUAGCCUAACCUCAAGACGGAAAUAACCCCGGGAAACUGGGGUCAAUGUCCGAUAGAUGUGAAUUCCUGGAAUGGUAUCACAUCCAAACGUCAACACACCAUGUUGUGCGAACGCUUGAGGAUGGGGCUGCGGCCGAUCAGGCUGUUGGUGGGGUAAUGGCCCACCAAACCUUUGACCGGUAUGGGCCAUGAGAGUGGUAGCCCAGAGAUGGACACUGAGACAAGGGUCCAGGCCCUACGGGGCGCAGCCGGUACGAAACCUCCACAAUGCACGCAAGUGCGAUGGGGUUAUCUCGAGUGCUAUCUGAAAAAGGUAGCUUUUCCAUGGUCUAAAUAGCCGUGGGAAUAAGGGGGGGGCAAGACUGGUGUCAGCCGCCGCGGUAACACCAGCCCCCCGAGUGGUAGGGAUGUUUAUUUGGCCUAAAGCGUCCGUAGCCGGCUAAGUAAAUUUCUCGUUAAAUCCAACGUCCUAAGCGUUGGGCUGCGAGAAAGACUGCUUAGCUAGAGGGUGGGAGAGGUCAGCGGUAUUCCUGGGGUAGGGGCGAAAUCCAUUGAACCCAGGAGGACCACCAGUGGCGAAGGCUGCUGACUAGAACACGCCUGACGGUGAGGGACGAAAGCUGGGGUAGCGAAUCGGAUUAGAUACCCGAGUAGUCCCAGCCGUAAACGAUGCAGACUAGGUGUUGGGUUGGCCACGCGCCGACUCAGUGCCACAGGGAAGCCAUUAAGUCUGCCGCCUGGGAAGUACGGCCGCAAGGCUGAAACUUAAAGGAAUUGGCGGGGGAGCACCACCAGGCGUGAAGCCUGCGGUUUAAUUGGAGUCAACGCCGGGAACCUUACCGGGAGCGACAGCAGAGUGAAGGCCAGGCUAAAGGUCUUGCCAGACGAGCUGAGAGGAGGUGCAUGGCCGUCGCCAGCGGGCAACGGCAGGUCAGUAUGCCCCGAAUCUCCCGGGCCACACGCGGGCUGCAAUGGUAGAGACAGAGGGCUGCAACCCCGAAAGGGGAAGCCAAUCCCUAAACUCUACCUCAGUUGGGAUUGAGGGCUGCAACCCGCCCUCAUGAACAUGGAAUGCCUAGUAACUGCCAGUCAUCAUCUGGCGGUGAAUACGUCCCUGCUCCUUGCACACACUGCCCGUCGAACCACCCGAAUGAGGUUGGGGUGAGGCAUGAUCGAAUGUUGGUCGUGUCGAACCUGGGCCUCGUAAGGAGGAUUAAGUCGUAACAAGGUGGCCGUAGGGGAACCUGCGGCCG
rnacentral:rRNA from 1 species